rnacentral:rRNA from 1 species
GACGAACGCUGGCGGCGUGCUUAACACAUGCAAGUCGAACGGAAAGGCCCUGCUUUUGUGGGGUGCUCGAGUGGCGAACGGGUUAGUAACACGUGAGUAACCUGCCCUUGACUUUGGGAUAACUUCAGGAAACUGGGGCUAAUACCGGAUAGGAGCUCCUGCUGCAUGGUGGGGGUUGGAAAGUUUCGGCGGUUGGGGAUGGACUCGCGGCUUAUCAGCUUGUUGGUGGGGUAGUGGCUUACCAAGGCUUUGACGGGUAGCCGGCCUGAGAGGGUGACCGGCCACAUUGGGACUGAGAUACGGCCCAGACUCCUACGGGAGGCAGCAGUGGGGAAUAUUGCACAAUGGGCGGAAGCCUGAUGCAGCAACGCCGCGUGCGGGAUGACGGCCUUCGGGUUGUAAACCGCUUUCGCCUGUGACGAAGCGUGAGUGACGGUAAUGGGUAAAGAAGCGCCGGCUAACUACGUG